rnacentral:rRNA from 1 species
AGAUUGAACGCUGGCGGCAGGCCUAACACAUGCAAGUCGAGCGGCAGCACGGGUACUUGUACCUGGCGGCGAGCGGGCGACGGGUGAGUAAUGCCUAGGAAUCUGCCUGAUAGUGGGGGAUAACGUUCGGAAACGGACGCUAAUACCGCAUACGUCCUACGGGAGAAAGUGGGGGAUCUUCGGACCUCACGCUAUCAGAUGAGCCUAGGUCGGAUUAGCUAGUUGGUAGGGUAAAGGCCUACCAAGGCUACGAUCCGUAAC